GUGUGUGGGGAGGGGCUGCAGGCCGGGGCAGAGAGCAGGAGUGGGGCGUGAGAGCGGGAGAAACGGGGAGGAGAGCGCGGGGACUGCCCCCCAGCCCCUCUGGGCGCUCUCUGCCAAAGCGCUGUCCCGAUGUUCGGGAGAGGUGUCAGCCCCCCCGAAAGACCCAGUUCCUGGAGGGCAGGAACCCCAGUGCUCGACGCAGAGUGACACAUAGAAAAUUGCUUUGAGUCUGGGAGGUGGACCGAGUGGAGAAGCAAGAUGAGCUAUAAUACUGGUGCGGUCUCCAGACAGCUGGGCAGGGAGCAGCAGUGCUGAUGCUGAGGGGCCUCCAGGGAUGGAGAGUGGCCUGGCUGGCGGCAGCACAGGAGAUGAGCUGGUGAUGAAGAUCAAGCAAGAGAAGCCAGAGUGGCUGCUGCGGACUCUGGCGCCGCUGGCCGCGCUUUCCCAGAAGGAUAAGGAGAACAUCUUCCAGCAGCAUCGGGGCCCCCUGCCAUGCCAGACCGCGGGGAAGCCACGAGCCCUGGGGGGACAGGAGGAGACUGGGGGUUCAAGGUGGGCCCCUUCCACUGAGCAGGACAGCGGUCUGGCUGGCCGGGCUCCGGGGGCGGCCUCUGGCCCCCUAAGCCCCACUCUUUCUGCGGCCGAGGGUCACUUCGUGUGCCUGGACUGUGGGAAGCGGUUCAGCUGGUGGUCGUCGCUGAAGAUCCACCAGCGCACACACACCGGCGAGAAGCCGUACCUGUGCGGCAAGUGCGGCAAGAGCUUCAGCCAGAAGCCCAACCUGGCGCGCCACCAGCGGCACCACACGGGCGAGCGGCCCUUCUGCUGCCCCGAGUGCGCCAGGAGCUUCAGCCAGAAGCAGCACCUGCUCAAGCACCAGAAGACCCACGCUCGGCCCGCCACCCACCCGUGUCCCGAGUGCGAGCGCUGCUUCCGCCACCAGGUGGGCCUCCGCAUCCACCAGCGCGCGCACGCCCGGGACCGCCAGGGCGCCCGCGCCGGGCUGCAGGAGCUGCUGCGGGACGUCGCGGCCCGCCGGGUCUGUCGCCCCCACCCGGGGCCUCAGCGGGGGCGCCCCGAGUGGGCCUGGCUGGGGCUCUGCCAGGGCUGGUGGCGCCGGUCCGCGGCCCGGACCGCCGCCACCGCCGCCGCGGGACCAGGCGAGCCGCGCCAGUUCAUCUGCAACGAGUGCGGCAAGAGCUUCACGUGGUGGUCGUCGCUGAACAUCCACCAGCGCAUCCACACGGGCGAGCGGCCCUACCCGUGCCCCGAGUGCGGCCGCCGCUUCAGCCAGAAGCCCAACCUGACGCGGCACCUGCGCAACCACACGGGCGAGCGCCCGCACCCGUGCCCGCACUGCGGCCGCAGCUUCCGCCAGAAGCAGCACCUGCUCAAGCACCAGCGCACGCACCUGCCCGGCGCCCCGGCCGCGCCCUGCCCCAGCUGCGGCCAGAGCUGCCCCAGCCGCGCGGCCCUGCGAGCCCACCAGCGCGCACACGUCGCCGCCGCCGCCCAGCUGCUGCGCCCCGAACCUCCCGCCCCGGGCGCCCCCGAUGUGGCGGCUCAGCCGCGCGGUCCCGCGCCCGCCCCUCGGGGGCCCGGGGACCUGCCAUGGGGCCGGGCGCGGGCGGGCGUUGGUGGGCCGGGCGAGCCGCGUCAGUUCAUCUGCAACGAGUGCGGCAAGAGCUUCUCGUGGUGGUCGGCGCUCACCAUCCACCAGCGCAUCCACACGGGCGAACGGCCCUACCCGUGCCCCGAGUGCGGCCGCCGCUUCAGCCAGAAGCCUAACCUGACGCGACACCGUCGCAACCACACGGGCGAGCGGCCCUACCUGUGUGCCUCCUGCGGCCGUGGCUUCAGCCAGAAGCAGCAUCUGCUUAAGCACCAGCGCGUUCACCGGGGGGCCUUGGUGCCCACCCCCAGCGCCAAGGAUGAGGCGCUCUAGUGCACCUGGAUCCAAGCCGACCCGCGGUGGGGGGCAUGCUUACGGGGUGCGUGUGGGGGUGGCCAGGAACGGUGGCUUUUAGAACCCCAAGGGGUGAGACCAUAUCAAAACAGUGGUUGUCUCAAGGCUCUGAGACCUGAGAACAGAAUUCCAGAAGCAUCCCAAAAGGGGGACGGGGAAAAGUCCCAGGAAGGGCUGAGAGAAGAGACAAGAUCAGACAUCCUCAUCCUGGAGCCUGGAUGUGUCCUUACUCACAGGUGGGACCCCGGCCCUUGGGCAGCGAGUGAGGGGGCCCUGGGAGAGGCUCUCUGGGUGAAAUGGUCCAGAUCUGGACUGGUCAGCUGUAGCACCCGCUCAGCGGCCAGGUAAUAGUUCCUGUGGGAUAGUCUCCACAGACGAGUGAUGCCAAGCUGGAAGCUGGACGCUGCAGCUGGGGAGGGGCACGCAUAUCUCCAAUGCAGAGGCCAGAGCCUGGCACCUAAUGGCCAUUCAACACCUGUAUUUGGAAGGAGUGAAUGGUUUGAUGAUCCUCAGCCCUUAGCGCCCUGUUGUCCAGGGGGCUGUUAUGGCCAGCCUGACCCAGGACUGGUGUGUGUGUGUGAUAGUCAGGGGCUGGGACAUGGGGCUGGUCUCAGCUGGGGUUCUGUAGCUUGCGGGGGGACCUGCAGCAGGAAGGCGCUGAAUGUGCUGCUCCGACUGGGUGGGCACUGACUGGGAUCCUCGUCAGCACCGGGCUGCAGAAGAGAGAAAUGAAGGACUGACUAUC